rfam:TPA: Bos taurus chromosome 18, whole genome shotgun sequence.
UCCCUGGUGGCUCAGAUGGUAAAGCGUCUGCCUACAAUGCAGGAGACCUGGGUUCGAUCCCUGGGUUGGGAA